rnacentral:lncRNA from 13 species
ACAAUUCACUUUUCUAUUGUUUCAGGAUUGAUCUUCUCAAACAUAUGAUUAUUCUUAAUUCAGAAAAAAUAUUUCAUUUCUUUAAGUACAUGAGAAGGAAUUAGAGCCAGCUGAAUGCAAUAAGGGAUGAGGAAGGAAGAAGCUCAAUAAAAGGAAAUCCAACCUGUUUACAAGUCUGGAUCUAAACACUGUGAGGUUCUUCUUUUAAACUCAGAGCUUCCCUGGACCUCAACCAGCGCCAUUUGGGCAAAAAUUCAAUAAGCUGUGUGAGGGUCAUUAUUGAACAAACAUAUUAUCAGAUUUAGAUGGUUUGAUGUUAUUCUGAAGUUAUUCUGAAGACCAAUGAAAUAUCACGACGGUCAUGAAUAUAC